UAGGUGGUUGCCGUGCUAUUUCAGUCU
rnacentral:piRNA from 1 species